rnacentral:tRNA from 1 species
AAUAAAAUGGCUGAGGAUAGGCGAUAAAUUGUAAAUUUAUUUACGAGAGUAAUCUCUUUUGUUA